UUUCCAUUGAAAUUAUCUUCCAUUCCAUUCAUAAUUGGAUUACGAAAUUCCUUCGUUAUCAGUCCUACAUUUUGUUUGAGUGAUCUCUUUCAUCUAUCGUCCGCAUCUGACAGUGUUUUUGUUCUUCUUCGACAUGUCUUGGAGGUGUUGUGUUUCUGGUUGUGGUUCCGAAGGAGUACCUUUAUUUCAUAUUCCAAAAUUUAAUGAAAGUUUAAAAACUGCUUUGCAAGAAAAAAAAAAGGAUCGUAGAAUUGUUUGGCUUCAAAAACUUAACGUGAAGGAAUGUGACUUAAACAACAACACUCGUGUUUGCUCUCGUCAUUUUGCAUCUGGUACGCCAUGUAAGAAUUCUUUCGAUAACUCUCACCCAGACUGGGCACCUUCACUACACAUCAGAAAUUCCAUUUUUGACAGGGUUGUACAGAGAAACAUUAGUCGACAUUCCAGAAGGCUUGAAAGGGAAUCAAGAACAUUGGAACAGAUCAUAAAUAGGGUAAAGGUAUUCAGCCCUGUGUAAAAUAACAGGCACUUUUUUUCAUCAACACUAAUUUCAGUAAACAACUGGCAUUUUCCUCUUUCAUUCACAUUAUUCACUUGUUGUUGAAGGGUUUUUUCAGAUGCAGUUAACUGCUCAUUCAUUCUACGUAAUUUCUCAUUUUCAACAAGUAGACAGUCCCUUUCCCUUGUCAUCAGUUCCAACAUUUUGUAGACUCCAGUAGCCUAAAAUGAAAUACAUUAUAUAAAAAUGAAAA